rnacentral:lncRNA from 1 species
UGGAUCAAAUAUAUAUUAUCGACAAUCGAAGAGAGUUUUUACGGUACCUUGUACUGCUGUGAUGGGGUGAGCAGUAUAAGUUAAAUCUGGCCGUCAAUUUUUCAGGGCACUAUUGAUUUUUUCACCUACAACUAAAACUUUUACAAGAAUGAUGCUACGGUGGCUGCCUGCGCUCGUUCGUAGCUAUUCGUCGUCCGGACUACGCAGUUUCCACUUCCGUCGCCGCUCCUCUUCUUCCCUCUUGGCCAACCCGUCCAUCAUCAGCUCUGGAUAACAAUGGCAUCGAUUAACUCAAGGCAUUUGGAAGUAUGCUGCACUGUUGUUAAUCAUACUUUCCACAAGUGAGAAAGCCAGUAGAACUCGGGUCAAGAAAAUGGAAUGAAAUCAGCUUUGUCAUAUUAGGCUUCUAGGUUGAACUAAUGUAGAGAAUCCUUGUAUCAGAAAAUAUGACGUGCACAUGCUCGUCUCUCCACCAUGGCUGCCAUAGCUUGACGUUGGGGCCGGAGGAGCUGCUUCGAUCCACUUCUGUAACUAGGUGGUUAAUCAUGUGUCGAACGUGCAGAAUGCCAUGAGGGUCACACUGAGUCCCAAAUGGACGCGGCCGACAUUGGCGGUUGGACGGAUCCAGAUCGUGCGGGAUUUAGUUGACAUAUUUAUCUUACGAUUUUGGCCCCAAAGCCCGUAUACUGCUCAGUUGUUCAGGUUAUGGUCACACAUAUACUGCUCACGUGAACUAGCAGUAUAGAUUACUCCCCACCAUUAGAUCAAGAGAAAUAAACGGUCUAUAUUUAUCACAGGGUACCGUAAAAGAAGUACUAAUUUGGACCUGUUGGUUGCUGCAGGUGGUAAGGAUGAGGUGGGUGCCGAGGAGAAGUUGGAGCAUCACCGUCGCCGCACCUACGGCCAUUGGUGCCACGGAAGGAUUAUGCUCAGAUACACACGCCGGCUUUUUGUUGUGCAAUGGUAACCUAUA